rnacentral:rRNA from 1 species
UGGGGAAUAUUGCACAAUGGGGGAAACCCUGAUGCAGCAACGCCGCGUGAGUGAAGAAGGUCUUCGGAUUGUAAAGCUCUGUCAUCUGGGACGAUAAUGACGGUACCAGAGGAGGAAGCCACGGCUAACUACGUGCCAGCAGCCGCGGUAAUACGUAGGUGGCGAGCGUUGUCCGGAUUUACUGGGCGUAAAGGAUGCGUAGGCGGAUAUAUAAGUCAGAUGUGAAAACCCCGGGCUCAACUUGGGGAGUGCAUUUGAAACUGUAUAUCUAGAGUGCAGGAGAGGAAAGUGGAAUUCCUAGUGUAGCGGUGAAAUGCGUAGAGAUUAGGAAGAACAUCAGUGGCGAAGGCGGCUUUCUGGACUGUAACUGACGCUGAGGCAUGAAAGCGUGGGGAGCAAACAGG